rnacentral:rRNA from 1 species
UACAGAGGGUGCGAGCGUUGUUCGGAAUUACUGGGCGUAAAGCGCGCGCAGGCGGCCCUUUAAGUCUACCCGUGAAAUGCCGGAGCUCAACUCCGUGCACGCCGGGGAUACUGGGGGGCUGGAGACAUGUAGAGGCAAGCGGAAUUCCGGGUGUAGCGGUGGAAUGCGUAGAGAUCCGGAAGAACACCUGAGGCGAAGGCGGCUUGCUGGGCAUGAUCUGACGCUGAGGCGCGAAAGCGUGGGGAGCGAACAGG